AAAAUUCACAUAAGGUUGUUCAGUGAUAAAGGAAGUAAGGAUGCAGAGACAACUAGGAGGUUUGCCUAGAAGUAGCCACUCUUGAAAGAGUGCGUAAUAGCUCAUUGAUCGAGCACUCUUGUGUUGAAGAUAAAUAGGGCUAAUCGAUCUGCUGAA
rfam:Gossypium arboreum cultivar AKA8401 contig_1421_3, whole genome shotgun sequence.